GACAGAAACUAAAAACCGUGAGUUCAGGCAGCUAGAAACCUAAAAUAAAAGAAAACGGAACAACAACAACAACAACGAAAAUAAGGUGGGUUGGAUAAGCUUCGAAAUGGUUACUGCUUAUGCAAAGGUGCAGGCCCCAGAUCUUUCCUUUUACUUGGGAGAAAACAGACGCCAUUCAGUGAAAGUCAACAUAUCCUUACUGGACACUUAUUCUGUGAGGCACUCUGGGAGAUAGAAAUGCUAUUAUGGUCAGUAAAUCUAGAGAGGAAAAAAGACAAGAAAACAACUAUACCAAAAUUGGCUACGAAUCAGGUGCAAGGGCACAUAAAAGAAGCAGCAAUUAUUUCUGAUCAAAGGAUUAGAGAAGAAUGUGCACAGAAGGUGACACAGAAACUCAGCUUAGAAAAAUGUAUAUUUGCGGGGAGAUAAAGGGGAAGGUAUUACAAUGUGAGGCUGUAUAAGAUUCCAAAGCACAGAGAUAUGAAUGUGAAAGGCUUAAUUUGAGAAAGACAAAAUGUUCAUAGUGACUGAAACUUGUUAGCAGAACUUGCAUAGUGCUAGCUCUAAAGAGAAGUUUGGGCUCGGUUUAGAGGGACUUUGGCUGCCAUACUAGGGAGUUUGGAUUCCAUUCUACAGUGUGGAGGAAGAUUUUUUAAAAGCACCAUUUAGUAAACACUGUGGUUGCCUCCUCAACAUCUAUUCCCUACACUACCCCUAUUGUCCUUUCUAACCAAAUCCAUUUUUUUUUUAAAUCAGAUAAUCCACCUCUCCUUUAUGAGAUUCAGGGGACAAUGAAUUCAUCUCCAUUUCCAAGGAUAGAUCUGUAUUAGCUUAAAUCAGGCAGGCUAACUCAUACUUCUUGUGCUUCCAUGACAGACUCUUUCUGGGUUAUACGUAAUAAAUAUACAUAAACAAUAUUAUACUUCAUUGUCCAGCAUAUACAAGAGGCAAACACAAAUCAGAAAUAUUAUCUUUACCAGUGGUACAUGAGUCCAUUUUUUGUCAAAUAGAGAGCAAUUGCUGCAGUAAUUGCAGUUUAUCACUAAGCCAGAUGCAGGGGUUACUCAUACAUAUGCCUUCUAAUUGUGGGCUACUAUUAAUAGUCACUGGCCUCCUUCUUAAAUUAUUUUCAGUCAUGAGCUUAACUUAAUGUGGUACCAUAUAUUCUUUCUUUUAAGGACCUUAAGAAUCUGGGAAGAAUUAGCCACACUCUAAUUUAGGAACAGAGAUGGAUGAAUCCACCUAUGGACAUUUACUGGUAUGAGUCACUGGGGAAGUUCACUAAGUCACUAUUUAAGAUGAUCCAGAACAGGUGUCUACAGCUGCCUUAAGAAUGAGUACUAUGGUGGUGAUGAAAAUGUUCCUCUCAGAUGUCCAACUGCAGGGGGUGGGUAUGAAAUUGCCAGAUGGCCCCAGCUGGUGUGCUCUGGAAUCCUUGGCGCCAAGGCCAUGCUGCCAGGGGCUUCUCCAGGCUGGUGAUCAAAUGUAGUGAGGAUCCUCAGGCAGGCCCAUUCCUGGAAGACAUGGGACUCUCCCGAUAGGUGAGUUUGGCUCAAGGACUCCUCAUGGUCCUGAAAGAAACUCUCUGAGACCUGUACUUCAGUGGAAGCCUGUCUUUCCUUUGCUGUCUCCUUCCCAAGGGUUAAACCUACAUUGCAGUCUAAUGGUGGCUCUCCCGGCCUUCUCUGGCUCCCUCGACAUUUUCUCUCACAGGCAUUUCCUUUAAUAAAUCUCUCGCAUAUCUGAUCCUGUCUUGGCUUUUGCUUCUUGGAGGACCCAGAAUAACACAAGUACUGUCAUAAUUAUAUCUCCUCACUUUAAAUCUCUCAAGUGUAAUUACUAAAAUUGUGUUGUAGUGGAAGUAAAAAGCAAGGUUACUAACUUGAGAGUAUCUAUGAAACACUCACCCAUUAAGUUUCAUUCUUUAGUACAUUUAUAAUAACUUUUAUUCCAAUUGUAGCAUGGUCUAUCUCCAAGGGCAAGUUCCUGCCUGCGUCUUCAUUGAAAACAGUGGAACUUUGAAGCAAUGGGGGAGUUUGUUGCUUCUCUUGACAAGCGGCCAGCCCUAAUUCAGAGUUAUAAAAGUUUUCAUAUUCUGCUUUUGGCAUAUCUGUAAAAUAUACUUGGGCAUACAUUUUUUUUUUCUGUUUGGAUCAUAAGUGUGUGAAACAUACGUGGUAAGAGCCAGUUAUAUUCCAAUCACAGAGGAUGUCUUGGAACACAUCACUGCCACUCCAGAGGUACUGAAACUUUCUUCCUCUAGUAAGGAACAUGGCUGGGGUGGGGGUGAGAAGAGAUAUUCUUACAUUUAUAAACUGUUUCUCCCACCACCAGACCAGACAUAAAGUUUGAUUUUGUCCUGAAGAUUUCAGUUGUCUUGGAGCCAGUGGAACUGAGUUAGCCCAAGAAUGAGAGUGGAUGUCCUUUUUCUCUUUCUGCCUUUGAAAUAUCAGGUUCAUUGGACAGGUGCUCAGUAGAUCCAAUUUUCUUUAAUUGCACCUACAUCAGUGUAAUAUAAAUGUCUUCAUUCACAAUCCCACAAGGGUUGUAGAUAUCAAUAUGCCGGGGGAUAGUGUAUGGGAAUUGAGGGUCAUAGUAGGUCAAUACUAUAUAAGAAAAUUCCUACAGAGAGUGAGUCUAAAUCCCUACUCCUAUGGGACCAGCGACUAUUAUUGUCUAUUUAUUUACUUAUUUGAAAAUGUAAACAAUUAUUUCCCAGUGGACUAAUUACAAAGUUCCUGUGACAUCAAGAUCAUUCCUUCUCAAGGCUUUUCACUAUAUAUUGAGACGUGUAGUCUUAAUUUCAUUUUGGUUUGCCCCAAGACUUCCACCAAGUCUAGGGGAUCUGUACGGAACUAUCCUUUCCCAAGGUACAUCAUGCAUACUUUCUGCUAUUAUUUUUUUUUUCAGUCUGUCCCUUGUGGUCAAUCAAGAGAAAUGCAGACUUGAAUCUCUAUAAGAAGAGCAAAGGUUCUCCCUUUUUAAACCUUUGAACUGAGAAAAAAAAAAAAAAGCAGCAGCUCCUGCCAUCCAGAAACUUGUCUGGCGCUAACAGCGAGGCCAUAUUGUUCUCCCAUUGUACAAAAACAAUUUCAGAAAACAUCAACAUCAGAUAAGGUCACUCAGAGACCGUCAUAAAGUAAGGCACAUACACGAUCACCAUGCAACCCACAAAAUACUGAUCAUCCUUCUGUUAUCUAAAAUGAGUAAUUGCACGUUUUAGAAACCAAUCGCAGCUUUAUUCUCAUUUUAUUUAUGUUUGUUUUUGAGACAGAGUUUCACUCUUGUUGCCCAGGCUGGAGUGCAAUGGUGCAAUCUCAGCUCACCACAACCUCAGCCUCCUGGGUUCAAGCGAUUCUCCUGCCUCAGCCUCCUGAGUAGCUGGGACUACAGGCAUGCGCCACCAUGCCCGGCUCAUUUUGUAUUUUUAGUAGAGACGGGGUUUCUCCAUGUUGGUCAGGCUGGUCUCAAACUCCUGACCUCAGGUGAUCUGCCCACCUUGGCCUCCCAAAGUGCUGGCAUUACAGGCGUGAGCCACCGCGCCCAGCCUUUAUGCUUAUUUUAGUCAGCUCUCCUUGUAUAUGUAUUGAGAUCGUAGUUGUAGAAUUGUUUCUGGUUCUUGACAGUAUGUCAUCCAAAACAAAGUCUCCCUUCUUCAGACACUUCCCAAAACUAUCCAACCAAAGCCCACAGCCUAUAAUAGGUUCUUUCUGACACCUUUUUACUGAUAUACCCACAGUUCUCUAUGGUGUGCAUUUUCCCUAGCUGCAAUGAACAACAGAUUCAACUUGUUUAAUUAUAGGUGUGUUUCCAUUGGUCUUUGGCUGUAGGGCAUUAAUAAUAUUAUGUACUAUUAGUGCGUUAAUAACAUUAAUAAUGCCCUAUAGCCAAAAGUACUUUUACCAGUGCUAGAGAUCCACCAGGCUUUCUGCUAAAGGUCACUCUAACAUUACGGACACAAGUCAGUUGUUUGUCUUUUAAUGCUUUUGCCAGCUGAAAUAGUUUAUCUCAGAGUUUUCUAUGAGGAUCUGAGAUUUAACUCUGCUCUAGGUGUUGAGAGCAACAAGCUCAUAGUGCCAGUUGUCUUGUGGUUAAAUGUCAAAAGCCUUAAUUAAGGCUUAUUAUUUUCUCCUUUGGAAUAGGUCGGCUCCAAGGCUACACAAGCAGCAAGAAGAAAAGGAAAAACUCUGUUUUAUUAAAGCUCCACUUGCCUAUCUACCUUGGUGGAGGGUCAAGAAAAGGUUUAUAACCUAUUUGCAGGUUUUAGGCUCCUGUUUGCAGCACAGAAACCACAGACAAUAGAAAUUCAGACUCAGUGGUGUGGCAGAAGAUAAAAUAAUUUGGGUUAUUUCUGUGAUAACAUGGGCAAUCUGGAAACUACUCCCAUUUGUGAGGGUAAAUCUCUAUUAUGAUACAUGGAAAAUAGGACAGAUGCUAAUUCAGGUAAGAAAAGGUCUUUGUAUUAUACAAAUAUUUACCUUCAGACAGAAAUGUUAAUGAAGAUGGAGAAGGAACAGUUACCAAGAAACUAGGGAUAGUAGGACACAAAAAACCUGGUAACCUGGUAGUGAGUAUGAACCAGUCUGGUGCCUUGCCUCCAGAGGAGCAGCAACUGAGCAGAGCUACUGGACAACCAGCCCUGCACUUCCCUAGAGCACAGACCAGCUCACUAUGCAGCCACCAAGAGAUAAGCACCGAAGGAGAACCUACCAGCCAUGGAUCCUCAGAAAACAGACCAGCUAAGUGCCCAGCCUUCAGGGGACAAGCAGCUGAGUGGGCAUACCAGCCACACAAACUUCUGCAGCCAAGGCCACUGAGGUACUUGCAGGCACCACUGACAUUAACUACAGCUAAAGAAGCUGCAUGGAGACUACACUACUGCAUCCACCCAGAACAAAAACAAAUGUACCUUACCCAACCAACAUGCUAGGACACAUCUGCAGGUGUAAGUCUUUUCCGCUGAAAGUUAUGCUACCAAGUUAGAAAAGGUGAUUAUUCCAUCAGAUGCACAGAUGCCAGUGCAGGGAUACAAGAAACAUAAAAAAGCAAGGGAACAUGACACCACCAAAGAAACACAAUAAUUCUCUAGUAACUGACCCCAAUAAAAAAAUAAAAAUUUAUGAAUUGCCUGAAAAGGAAUUCAAGAUAGUGAGCCUAAGGAAACUUGGUGAGACAUGAAAGAACACAAACGGAUCAUUCAACAAUCGGGAAAAACAGUUCAUGAUCUGAAUGAGAAAUUCAACAAAGAGAGAGAUAUCAUAAAAAAGAACAAAAUAGAAAUCUUGGGGCCAAGAAAUUCAAUGAAUGAAAUAAAAAAACGCAAUUGAGAGCUUCAACAGCAAAAUAGAUCAAACAGAAGAAUUUUUGAACUUGAAAACAGGCCUUUUGAAAUAGUCCAGUCAGAGGUAAAGAAAAAAAAAAAGGAAUGAAGAAGCCUAUGGCAUUUAUGGGACACCAUAAGUGAACAAAUGUUUGCAUUUUGGCAACUUAAGAAGAAGAGAUGAAGAAAGGCAAAGAAAGCUUAUUUAACAAAGUAAUAGUUGAAAACUUCCCAAGUCUUGGGGAGAUAUGGACAUCCAGAUCCAUGAAGUUCAAAGGAUCCCACAAAGAUUCAACUCAAAGAGGUCCUCUCUGAGGCAUAUAACCAAACUGUCAAAAGUCAAAGACAAAGAAAAAAAUACUAAAAGCAGCAUGAGAAAAACAUCAAGUCACAUAUAAGGGAAUUGCCAUUGGACUAUUAGCAGAUUUCCCAGCAGCAACCUUGCAGGCCAGGAGAGAAUGGGAUGAUAUAUUUAAAAUACUAGAAGAAAAAAAGCUGCUAGCCUAGAAUACUAUACCAGCAAAUCUUUGCUUCAGAAAUGAAGGAGAAAUAGUCUUUCCCAGAUCAGCAAAAGUUGAGGGAACUCAUUACCACUGGACCAGACUUACAAGAAAUGCUUGAGUAUUUCUAUUGGAAAAAAAAGUUUUCAUGAUAAUUGCUACCAUAAAAAAACAUGAAGUAUAAAUCUCACUGCUGGAGAUAAAUGCAUUAUCAAAUUCAUAAUGCUUCAUUACUGCAAUGGUGAUAUGUAAUGUUUCAAACCUCUAGUAUGAAGGUUAAAGGCCAAAACAGCUGGGUGCUGUGGCAUGUGCUUGUAGUCCCAGUUAUUUAGGAGGCUGAAAUGGAAGGCUCAUUUGAGCCCAGGGGUUUGAGUCCAACCUGGGCAACAUAAUGAGACCCCAUUUAAAAAAUAAUAAUAAUUAAAAAAAUGCAGCUCUGUGGGAUGCCAAAAAGUGAAAAUUGUAAUAAUGAUUAUAGCAAUGAUAAGUUGUUAAGGAAUAAACAAUAUAUAAAGAUGUAUAUUAAAGCAACAAAAUUAUAAAUUUGGGUGCAGAAUGAAAGUCUAGAGUAUUGGUAUGCAAUGAAAGUUAACUUGUUAUCAGCUUAAAAUAGUCUAUUAUAAGUAUGAGAGAUUUUUAAUGUAACCCCAAUACUAAUCACAAAGAAAAAAUUACAACAGAUAUACAAAUGAGAAAGAGAAAGGAAUCAAAGCUUAACACAACAAAUACCCUAAUCAAGCCACAGAGAUAAACAUGAGAGAGGAAGAAAGGAACAAAGGAUAAACAAAACAACCAGAAAAUAAUGAACAAAAUGGCAGAAGUCCUUACCUAUCAAUAAUAACUUUGAAUGUAAAUGAAAUAAAUUCCCAAUUAAAACAUACGCCGUGGCUGAAUGGAUUAAAUUAAAAAAAAAAAAAAACAAGAUUCAGCAACAUGCUGCCUACCAGAUAGGCACUUCACCUAUAAGGCCACACAUAGACUGAAGUGAAAGAAGAGAAAAUGAAAUUCUGUGAAAAUGGAAACCAAAACAAAGCAGGGGUAGUAAUACUUACAUCAGACAAAAUAGACUUUAAGUAAAAAACUGUCAAAAGAGAAAAGAAGGUCAUUAUAUAAAGAAAGAUAAAGAAAUCAGUUCAGCAGAAGGUUAGGACAGUUGUCAGUAUAUGAGCACACAACACCAGAACACCCAAUAUAUAAAGUAAAUAUAUAAAGCAAAUAUUAUGAGAUCUAAAGGGAGAGAAAAAUUAAAAUAAAAUAAAAAAGGACUUUAGCACCCUCUUUCAGCAAUGGAUGGAUCAUCUAGAUAGAAAAUCAACAAAGAAUUAUCAGAUUUAAAUUACAUUCUAGACCAAAUAGCCCCAGCAGAUAUUUAUAAAACAUUCCCCUCAAUAACUACUGAAUGUACAUUUUGCUCAACAGCACAUGGAACUUUUCUCCACGAUAGAAUAUAUGUUAGUCCACAAAACAUAUCUCAAGCAAUCAAAAAAAUCAAAAUCUUAUCAAGUAUCUUCUCUUACCACAAUGCAAUAAAAACUAGAAAUGAAUACCAAGAGGAACUAUGGAACAUAUACGAAUAUGUGAAAACUAAAAACAAGUUUUUACAAAACCAGGGCAUCAAUAAAGAAAUUAAAAAGAAAAUUUAAAAAUUCCUUGAGACAAAUAAAAGGAAACAUAAUGUACCAAGACCUAUGGGAUACAGCAAAAGCUAUUCUAAGAGGGAGUUUAUAGCAAUAGAUGCCUACAUCAAAAAAGUAUAAGAAUCUUUUAUAAAAACUUUAUGUGGCACCUCAAGGAAUGAGAAAAACGAGGGCCAGCUGAACCCUAAACUACUAGAAGAGAAGACUGAUAAAGAUCAAGCAGAAAUAAGUGAAAUAGAGCCUGAAAAUAAUAUAAAAAUCAGUAGAACAAAAAGUUGGUCCUUUGAAAGAUAAACAAAUGUUUUAGCUAGACUAACAAAAAAGAGAAGACUCAAAUAAAUAUAAUCAGAGCUAAAAAAGGAGAUGUCACAGAAAUACAAAGGAUCAUAGAAGACUUUUAUGAGCAAUUAUAUGCCAAUAAACUGGAAAACCUAAAAGAAAUAAAUAAAUUCCUGGACACAUGCAACCUACCAAAGUUGAACUACUAUGAAGAAAUAAAAUACCUACACAGGCCAAUAAUGUGUAACAAGAAUGAAUCAGUAAUAAUAAGUCUCCCGUCAAAGAAAAGCCCAGGAACUGAUGACUUUACUGCUAAGUUCUACCAAACAUGUAAAUAAUAAUAUCACUUCUUUUCAAACUAUUCUAAAAAGUUGAAGAGGUGCAAAUUCUUCCACACUCAUUCUAUGAGGCCAACAUUAUCAAAACCAGACAAGGAUAACUUGAUAAAAAGAAAACUACAGGCCAAUCUCCUUUAUCAACAUAGAUGCAAAAAUCUUUAACAAAAUAUAAGUGAAACAAAUUCAACAGCAUAUUGAAAAAAUAAUUCACCACAAUCAAGUGAGAUUCAUCCCAGGGAUGCAAGGAUGGUUUAACAUAUGUAAAUCACAAAUGUGAUACAUCACAUUAACAGAAUGAAGGACAAAAAUGACAUAAUCAUUUUAAUAGACAAAGAAAAAAAUUUGAUAAAAUUUAACAUCCCUUCAUGAUAAAAAUUCUCAGCAAAUGAGAUGUAGAAGUAAUAUACCUCAACACAAUAAAGGCCAUAAAUGAGAAGCUCAUAGAUAACAUCAUACUGAAGAAGUUGAAAGCUAUUCCUCUAUGAUCUGCAAUAAGACAAGGAUGCCGCAUUUAUCACUUUUGUUGAACAUACUACUGGAAAUCCAAGCCAGAGCAAUUAGGCAAGAGAAAUGAAAGGCAUCCAAAUAGGAAAGGGGGAAGUCAAAUUGUCCUUGUUUGCAGAUGACAUUAUCUUAUAUAUAGAAAAUCCUAAAGAUUCCACAAAAAACUGUUAGAAUAAAUAAAUUCAAUAAAGUUGCAGGAUACAAACUCAACAUGCAAAAAUCAGUAGUGUUUCUAUAUGCCAGUAGCAAGCUACCUAAAAAAAGAUAUCAAGAAAGCAAUCCACUGACAAUAGCUAUAAAAUAAAUACCCAGGAAUAUAGUUAACAAAGGAGGUGAAACAUCUUGAGUGGAAACUAUAGAAUAUGGAUAAAAUAAAUUGAAGAGGACACAAAUAAAUAGAAAGAUAAUAAUGAAUUGCAAAAAUUAAUAUUGUCAAAAUGUCCAUAUUAUCCAAAGCAAUUUACUAAUUCAAUGCAAUCCCUAUUCUUCACAGAAAUAGAAAAAAAAAUCCUAAAACUUCUAUGGAACCACAAAAGACCCCAAAUAGCCAAAGUAAUCCUUAGCAAAAAUAAAGCUCGAGGCAUCACACUACCUGACUUUAAAAUAUACUAUAAAGCUAUAGUAACCAAAUCAACAUGGUACUGGUAUAAAAAUAGACACAUAGAUAACUGAAACAGAAUACAGAACAGAAAUAAAUCCAUGCACUUACAGCCAACUGAUUUUCAACAAAAGUGUCAGCAACAUGCAUUAGGAAAAGGAGAGGCUUUUCAAUAGAUGGCACUGGGAAAACUGAAUAUCCACAUGUAGAAGAAUAAAAUUAGACCCCUGUCUCUUACCAUAUGUAAAAAUUAGUUCAAAAUUGAUUAAAAACUUUAAUGUAAGACCUGAAACUGUAAGCAUCCUAGAAGAAAACAUGGGAGAAACAAUUCAUGACAUUGGUCUCGGCAAGAAUUUUUUGAAUAAGACCUCAAAAGCAUACAACAAAAGCAAAUAUAGAGAAAUGGUACUAUAUUAAACUAAAAUGCUUCUGUACAGCAAAGGAAACAGAUUGAAGUUAACUUAAGGAAUGGGAGAAAACAUAUGCAAACUAUGCAUCUGACAAGGGGUUAAUGCCUAGAAUAUAUAGAAAAAUAACUCAAUAGCAGAAAAAUAAAUAAUUCCAUUUAAAGAUGGGCAAAAUGCCUAAAUAGACAUUUCUCUAAAGAAGACAUACUAAUGCUUAGCAUCACUAAUCAUCAGGGAAAUGCAAAUAAAACCAUAAUGACAUAUCACCUCAGUCCAGUUAGAAUGGCUAUUAUCAAAAAGACAAAAAAUAACAAAUGUUGGGGUAGAUGUGAAGAAAGAGGAAGUCUCAUAUGCUGUUGUAAAUUAGUCCAGCAAUGAUGGAAAACAGAAUGAAGGUUCCUAAAAAAGUUAAAAAAUAGAAGUACCAUAUGAUCCAGAAUCCCACUACUGAGUAUAUAUCCAAAGGAAAUAAAAUCAGUUAUGUGGAAGAGA